AACGAACGCUGGCGGCAUGCCUAACACAUGCAAGUCGAACGAGACCUUCGGGUCUAGUGGCGCACGGGUGCGUAACGCGUGGGAAUCUGCCCUUGGGUUCGGAAUAACAGUUGGAAACGACUGCUAAUACCGGAUGAUGACGUAAGUCCAAAGAUUUAUCGCCCAGGGAUGAGCCCGCGUAGGAUUAGCUAGUUGGUGGGGUAAAGGCCUACCAAGGCGACGAUCCUUAGCUGGUCUGAGAGGAUGAUCAGCCACACUGGGACUGAGACACGGCCCAGACUCCUACGGGAGGCAGCAGUGGGGAAUAUUGGACAAUGGGCGAAAGCAUGAUCCAGCAAUGCCGCGUGAGUGAUGAAGGCCUUAGGGUUGUAAAGCUCUUUUACCCGGGAUGAUAAUGACAGUACCGGGAGAAUAAGCCCCGGCUAACUCCGUG
rnacentral:rRNA from 1 species